AACCUCUGCAAUAGGCGAAAGCUUGACAGGGUUACUCUGAGUGAUGCCCGUUAAGGGUAUCUUUUGGCACCUCUAAAAAUGGUGCAGAAUAAGGGGUGGGCAAGUCUGGUGUCAGCCGCCGCGGUAAUACCAGCACCCCGAGUGGUCGGGACGAUUAUUGGGCCUAAAGCAUCCGUAGCCGGUUCUGCAAGUCUUCCGUUAAAUCCACCUGCUCAACAGAUGGGCUGCGGAGGAUACUACAGGGCUAGGAGGCGGGAGAGGCAAGCGGUACUCAGUGGGUAGGGGUAAAAUCCUCUGAUCCACUGAAGACCACCAGUGGCGAAGGCGGCUUGCCAGAACGCGCUCGACGGUGAGGGAUGAAAGCUGGGGGAGCAAACCGGA
rnacentral:rRNA from 1 species